GCUGGGCGUGGUGGUGGGUGCCUGUAGUCCCAGCUACUUGGGAGGCUGAGGCAGGAGAAUGGUGUGAACCCGGGAGGCAGAGUUUAUAGUGAGCCAAGAUCCCCCCACUGCCCUCCAGCCUGGGCGACAGAGACUCUAUCUCAAANNNNNNNNNNUUUGAGAUAGAGUCUCUGUCGCCCAGGCUGGAGGGCAGUGGGGGGAUCUUGGCUCACUAUAAACUCUGCCUCCCGGGUUCACAUCAUUCCCUGCCUCAG
rnacentral:SRP_RNA from 1 species